GGGGGGGGGGGGGGGGGGGGGGGGGGGGGGGGGGGGGGGGGGGGAGGGGGGGGGCGGGCGGCUCGGACGGUAGGGGCGGGCGGGGGGGGGACACGUGGAUAAGCGACCUGUACGGGUGGGCGAACUUCGGGAAACCGGAGAGAAUACCGGAGAAGAUAUUGAGCCGCAUGGGUCAGUAGUGCACUGCGGUUUUUCUUUCACUUAUAGAUGGAUCCGCGCCGCAUUAGCUAGUUGGUAAGGUAACGGCUUACCAAGGCAACGAUGCGUAGCCGACCUGAGAGGGUGAUCGGCCACACUGGAACUGAGACACGGUCCAGACUCCUACGGGAGGCAGCAGUAGGGAAUCUUCCGCAAUGGGCGAAAGCCUGACGGAGCAACGCCGCGUGAGUGAUGAAGGUCUUCGGAUCGUAAAACUCUGUUAUUAGGGAAGAACAAAUGUGUAAGUAACUAUGCACGUCUUGACGGUACCUAAUCAGAAAGCCACGGCUAACUACGUG
rnacentral:rRNA from 1 species